GUACUCCGAAGGUGGAUCUCUUUUUAUCCGGGUCCGUUGCCCCGGUAACUUACGCGGAACGGCAAACCUGCUCCGUAGCAGGUUAUGUUUCAGGAUAAGAUCUCAGCAGGUAUAAAAAACCGCCCACUGACCAAUCGGAUCUCUUGGAAAAUGGCUUGCCCAAUCUUGCCGGAUCGCGGGGACAUCGUUGCACGGAUAGUGAGAGGAGCGCUUCGCCAAGAGCGUUAUAUUCAUGAUCGUUCAAACCCCUUUGAUUUACCUGAUGACGUUCUCUAUGAACGUUACAGGUUUUCCUCGGACGGCCUCAAUAUUCAGGUAGCAUGAAGUCUAAGCAAUACACAAAUAUUUGCCAAGCUCCAGGUUCCAAUUUCAUGCGGCAUAUCAGUCAUCAUUCAGAAUUUAUUGAAGCAGAUUAGAAAACUCUUAACCCCAAAUGUGUCUGCAGAUGACAUGUGACCAUCAGAUGAUGGAGAAAAAAAGAAAAAAAAGGCAGUGUGAGGAAAUCACUGUUUACGCUUUGAAAUAUGUACAAAUAAAAUCUUCCAAUAAACUUA